rnacentral:lncRNA from 1 species
AUCUUCCUCCUCUGUAGGUUUUUCUGUGUCCUACCAAACACACAUCAGUUUUCUCACAUGACAAUCUAUGUGUGGAGUUCACUUCACUGACGGAAGAAAGUGGAAAAUAUGUCUUUGUCUUAUAUUCUUCUCAUUUAUGUCGCCGGUGUUGCGGUAAAAGAAAGUUGUGCAGAUUCGGUUCCCACUCCCACUAUUGUAUUUUCCUCUGGGUACAUCAAUGUAGCUACACCUGUUACAGUACGCUGUGAGUCACCAAAAGGCACAGAGUGCAAGUUCUACAGAGAUCACCAACCCAACCCUAUAAGAAAACUGGAUUACAAGCAGGGUGCUUGCCAGUUCAAGUUGUUAUGGAAUGAGUUCAAAAAGUGGAACAAGACUGAAGUUGAUCUCAGCUGUGUAAUUCUACAGAAUAGAGAAGAUAAAACGAUCAAAACCUCAAAACCUAGUGAUGCUCGAAGACUUAUAGUGAGUGAUCCAAUUGGAAUGCCCAGUGUUCAUGUGGAGAAGAUCGGGAAUUACCUCAAUCUUCGAUGUGAGGCCAAGGCUUGCACCUCAUGCUACUUUUAUCUGAACAAUGGUGACUCACACUUUAAUAAACAACCCUACAAAGACAAUGUCUGUGUGGGGAGAGUGGCAGAAGAGGAACUGCAGAGGAAGAUGAGCAGUGCUGGAGAGAACUUCAUCACCUGUGCUGUGGAGCUGGUGAUAGAGGGUGAAGAUACUGUGACAUCACAGCAUAGUGAACCCCUCGGUAUCACCAUAGAUGUUGUAAAUCCUCCAGGAGCAACUAGUUCCCCGUCAGAGUUCAGUUUAAUCAUACCUGUUCAGGAGGAGACAAGCAGCAAUGUCACAGCCCAAGGAAGAGGUGAGUAACAUUGGUUUGGUUUUAGAUCAACUGUGAAAAUAUUAUCAUGACAAUCCUCUGUUUGUCUAUUUCUGUAUUGCAAGACUAAUACUGUAUAUAAUUAUUGUACAUACUGUGUAUAUCAUUGUUUUAUAUAUUUUGGUUGUUAAUCCUCCUGGAGCCACCAGUUCCAUCCCACUUGGAGAGGAUAGGUCAGUCAGUAGUAUAACUACACAAGGAGAAGGUGUAUUAAAUAAACAUGGUUAUUGUGAGCUCAGUUUGUCUAAAUACAUCAGCAAGUGCCUAUUCAGAUACUGUUUUUGAGAGUGAUGUCCCUUUCCCUUCCAGAAUCCGUCUCAGUGAUCCCCUUCUACCAGUAUACCAGUCUUCG